UCCAGCAGUGCGGCGCGGYCAGAAAUGCUAGCUGAGCCCGUGCAAGGAGGAAGCCUUAGCGGAACUGCUGGAAUUACCCCCGCGAGAGCCUGUGCAGAUUGACUCAGCAUCCACAGAGCUGAUCUGAUUGGGGGCCUACUAAAUACAUUAACGACGUCGAAAGUAGCCUACUUUAAGAGAAAAUAUGCAGAAGAAGAACAUUUACGUCAAGAUUACCAUGAGUAUUGUCCAAAACACCUGAUACUACCCGAGGACCGGACUUGUAUCUUAAAACUUUCUCUCCAGAAACUCCGAUUCCUGGAAGACCCUGAAGCCUAUCUCCGUAGGUCGGUAUUAAUUAACAAUCUGUUGAGGAAGAUUCACCUAGAGACAGAGAGGGAGAGCUAUGAAUACUUUAAGGAGGCUCCCUGUUAUAGGACUGCUUACUCUGAUGCACGAAAACGGCUGAAGUUUAUGGUACAAGAAUGCUGUUCUCAGUCACUCUAUUAUGAAGAGCUGCAUUCGUAUCAUAUCGUGCCUUAUUCUGCAGAGAACGCCAUUUACGGAAUGGGCUACACAAGCAGCCACUUGGAGCAAAAUUCUCAAUUGCUUAUUUAUAAAAUGAAUUAAAAGUAGCUGUUAGACCCACUGAUGUUUGUUUCUGAAUGCUUGGACUGCUUAUGGAGAUGUUAAGAUGAGGCACUAAUUGCAGAUGUCCUUGGGAUCAAGGCCGGGACGCGAGCGGAGCUCGGUGGAAGGUGCUUUGACUCACGCUCUGCAGCCGCUGGUGUCAACCCCGCGGUUACAGAGUGCGUUGCCGGACACGCAGAGCUGGUGCAUACAGAGGUUCUCGCACGCAGAGACUGUGCGCAAUGUGUUUUGUAGAAACAAAGCUGCAUUUCAGUUGCCUGUGUGUAGAUACGGAUGUCCAAAGCCACUUUGCAGUUCAAUUGUGUCAUCCCCAGUGGAAAGGGAGCCCCAAAGCAGCAGAGCAGUCUAACAGCGAGGAGUAAAAAGCUCGAUAUUUCCUGUAAAUGUAUAGGUAGAAAGUUUCUUUGAAGAUGAAGGAGACAGUGCCAAAGCAAACAGCCUUUUGCUUAGGAUUUUCCGAGACUAGCUCACUUGCUACUUGCAAAACAGCCACUAUUGAGAUUUGUAGGGUUUUAUUUUUUUAAGUAAUUGCAUUCACCUUUUACUUCUCUCUUAGCUGGUUUCUACUUUGCUAUUUUAGAGCAAAACAGAAUGACUCACAGGAAAGACUGUUUCUGCAGCCAGUCACCAGUGAUUCCUUAGCUUCAUUUGAUUCUUUCCCUAGUUGUUUCCCUGAUCCUUUUUGCAUGCUGAUUUACUGUUUGGCCAGAGGUUCCUAUUGGUGCUAGGGAACAGACAGUCAUUUCAUUUUAUGUGGAAUAAAAAAAGGCAGAAAAACAACAAAAACUCCUAUUGAUAAGAAUGAAUGUAUCUGACAGAUGCUAGCAAAACCUCAGAGGUUUUCUUGAUGACAAUACUCAUCGUUAGUAAUAGUUUUUCAGGUUAAGURAAAUGUCCAAUUUCAGUCUGGGAAUUAACCUUAGAUUAUGUAAAUAUAUAUUUCACAAGUGUGUGCAAUGACCUGAGAGAUGUUCAGCAAACUGAGGACGAGAACGGGCAAGUUUCAUAGCUGCCAAAGCUACGUUAUGAAAAUACCAAAGAGUAAUAUAAGGGAAAAGGUGAUGCUCCAGGCAGGGAGUCGAAAGCAAAGAUUGCACUAUAACCUGUGGAAAUGUGAUUAAUGAGCCUGUAACUAUCAGCUAUGGACACAUCUGCUGUUCAGUUGAGAGUGGCUCGCAACACAGAGCUACUGAACAAAUACCCAAUGCGCUGCAAAACCAGCCCAAAUCCUAGGAAUCUGUCAGCUUGCAGGGAAGGAGCCGGUUUUGCACUGCUCGCUCCCACCACUGCAGCUUUAAAGUGAAUUAAAUGAGAACAAACUCUCAGCUGGAGGCAGAGACGUAUCUAGGAACCUAAUUUUUAUUCUGGCUUCUCUCGUGUCGGAGCGGCUGAUGCUCUUUCCGAAGCGUUACACAGUACGAACAAAUGCCGCUGGAUGGGCUUAAUCCAUAGGAUUCCUCCUGUUAAUGCUGCUUGCAACGUCGUGGUCCCGUGUGUUGCACUCAUCAGCGAGGCUGACAGCAGUGUUUGUGCAGAAACGCGGGGGAAAAAACGAGAGAGACGAGAGCAGCAAGUGCAAAGAGCAAACUCACUGACGCGUCGACGGGGAGAAGGCGCCCUAGGCUUAGCAGGCAGAAGGAAGCGGAGUGAAAUCUAGUGAUGUUUUUAAUAACAAUAACAAAAAGGCAACUGCCUAGUUCAAAAAAAGCGGAUAACCUGCAAAUCUGAGAACAUAAACAGCACAUAAACUGUGGGAAGGCUGGUAAAAAACAGGGCAGCGCUGCUUGGGAAGUGCAAUUAGAGUGAGUGUUCAGGCUGGAGAAGCUGCUGUUAGUUUUUUAUUUGGAGACUAAGCCCAUUUCUUGUCUCUCUGCACCCUCGGCCAGGCUGGAGCCCUUCGGAAAGGAGCAGCUAAAAGGGACUCUGCCCAUUGCAGUGGGGCAGUGGGGAAAGGCCAAGGGAAUUUUGAGCCCUCGUAGAGGGAGUCAGGCUGUUGUGAGCGGUGCCGUUAUCCCCAAAAGAGCAUUUUUACCCCCAACAUCAUGAUGCAUGCGCAGGGGUUCGGGUAGGGACAGUAGAAGGCAGCGAGGUGUCAAGGGAAAGUUACUUCUGUCCWCUGUUUUUUUCCAAAUCUGUAAUUCCCAGCUCUACAUCGACCUGGUUUAUACACCUUGUAUCCAUUUUCACCUGAAUUUGUAAUGAUCGGGCAACUACAUGAAGUGCUAAAAUCUCUUUUUAUUUUUCCCCAGUUCACUGCCCUACUUUAUUAUGUUCAUAUAAUAUCUCUGGCCUGAAAAGCAAAGCUUUUUAUAUAAAAUUAGUAAUGUUAUUUCU